GUGUCAGCAGCCGCGGUAAUACGUAGGAGGCAAGCGUUAUCCGGAUUUACUGGGCGUAAAGCGGGCGUAGGCGGUCCUUCAAGUCGGAUGUAAAAUCUCCCGGCUCAACUGGGAGAGACCAUUCGAAACUGCUGGACUUGAGGAUAGCAGAGGGAGGUGGAAUUCCCGGUGUAGUGGUGAUAUGCGUAGAUAUCGGGAGGAACACCAGUGGCGAAGGCGGCCUCCUGGGCUAUUUCUGACGCUGAGGCCCGAAAGCGUGGGGAGCGAACAGAAUUAGAUACUCUGGUAGUCCACGCUAUAAACGAUGGACACUAGGUAUGGGGAGUAUCGACCCUCUCUGUGCCGAAGCUAACGCGUUAAGUGUCCCGCCUGGGGACUACGGCCGCAAGGCUAAAACUUAAAUGAAUUGACGGGG
rnacentral:rRNA from 1 species